rnacentral:rRNA from 1 species
AUCGGGGCAGGGUGAGUCGACCCCUAAGGCGAGGCCGAAAGGCGUAGUCGAUGGGAAACAGGUUAAUAUUCCUGUACUUGGUGUUACUGCGAAGGGGGGACGGAGAAGGCUAUGUUGGCCGGGCGACGGUUGUCCCGGUUUAAGCGUGUAGGCUGGUUUUCCAGGCAAAUCCGGAAAAUCAAGGCUGAGGCGUGAUGACGAGGCACUACGGUGCUGAAGCAACAAAUGCCCUGCUUCCAGGAAAAGCCUCUAAGCAUCAGGUAACAUCAAAUCGUACCCCAAACCGACACAGGUGGUCAGGUAGAGAAUACCAAGGCGCUUGAGAGAACUCGGGUGAAGGAACUAGGCAAAAUGGUGCCGUAA